rnacentral:misc_RNA from 1 species
UUUUCUAUUUCAAGUGGAUUUAGACAUACAUUUUGCAUAUCGCUGAUGUUUUUAUCAGAGUAUUAAUAAAAUGCAAUGUUUAGUUUGCAAGGAACAAGAAUUUACCUUUAGGAAACUUAUAUUGGUAUUGGCGACAUUUUUAUAUAAUAUAUCAAUAUCUGAAAUUGUGUGAAUACAUGUUUUUAUCAUUUAUUUUAUAUAUUAGUAACGAUAUGACUGAAUAUUUUGAAUAUAAAUAAUGUCGAAACGACAUGAUUACGCCAUCGAUGUAGAAGAAAUCGACGAAAGCUGCUUCAGUCUGCACUAUAAAUUCACGUUAACAUUUGUCUAUAUAUCAGUGUUCUUUUAUCCGUCGAAUUUCAUUGAUUAUUUGUGCAGUAUUCUUGUGCUUGAGAUGAAUAUCCAUUUAUAAAACUACGAAUUUUGCACAAUUUAUACAAAUUUGUAAUGAUAAUAGUCAAGUGAUAACAAGCAAUAAAAAAAAUUCUUUUUUUGGAAUUAUUUAGUUUUUUCAUUGUUAGUAGCACAGUUUUCAUAAGUUUUAAUGAUAAAAUUACUCUUUUAUUACAAGAGAAUAAUUCAAACUUACGCUAUAAUAAAAUUUAUUAUACAAAUAAAACAUCUUUUCUACAACUCAAAAUUAAUUUUAUAAUUGAUAUAUUAAAUGUUUGCUGCUAACUUAUAAUAAGAAAGUAAACGAUUGUAUUAUGUACUAAAAUAUCGCAUUAUGUCGCAACGGCAACUUACAUUUAUUUUGUGUGUCUGCGUAAACUUUACCACGUUACUUUCCGCACAAAUUCAUAAAUGGAAUAAUGACAACAGCAAGAAUAAUUAUAUGCUGCCUGGUUAUGCUGUUGCUGCAGUAGCUUUGGGCCUUCUUAACUCAACGUUAUGUGAAAAGGAAUUGUUAAAUUUCCGGGAUGCUGUCGACCAACGAGUACUCUGGAGUUUGAGAAUGUUGGAUUCCAGCGGCGAAUUUCAAUCAGGUUUUCUUGGUGGAAACACUUAUUGGCUAGGGAGUCAAAGCCAGUGCUUUGAUACAAUGAAUAUUACUCCUCUACAACUUUCAGAGCGACUUUUAUUAAACAAUACGUUGUAUCGGGACCCGCAAAAAGAAUUUCCGCCUUUCAAAGUGAAUUACUUUGCUGCCCACUUUAAACACAAUAGUACUCUUCAGUACCACAUAAAUCUGCCUAACGAAAAUGUGAUAACACUUGGACUCUGUUUACCAGCAUCAUGCUCUGUGAAUGAUAUAAGUUUAAUUCUAAAAAGGAUAUUCCGCGAUAGAGUUCUUCUAAUUAAUGACCUAUAUUCCAUAGACUUUGAGCUGAUUCAGGUUAAAGAUUUAAAAAACAAUUAUAAAUGGUUCAUUAGUGGAGCCAUACUUGUUAUUUGCGUUAUUUUAGUGCUUUCAAUUUUUAUGGUGAUAAUUGGAACGUUGUAUGAUAUACUCAUAAGUCAGAAAUAUUUAAAUAAGAAGAAUAAAAUCGACACUAAUGGGAAAAACACAAUUCAGAUAAUGGAAAUGGAAGCGGAUUUGUCUUUGCAGGAAAGUAGAAUUGGAAAAAUCUUAAUGUGUUUCUCCGUUUACGCAAACACAAAAGUGAUAUUUAACACAAAAUCGCAUCCCGACACUGUGCCCGUUAUUCACAGCUUAAAAUUUCUGAGUAUGUGUUGGUUAAUCAUGGCCCAUACCGCAACUUAUAUAAUAGACUACAUCGACAAUAAAAUAGUAGGCUGGAAAAUAAGCUCUGGUUUUGGCCCUCAAAUAUUAAGCAACGCAACUUUAGGAGUCGACACCUAUUUCUUCUUAAGUGGAUUUUUAGUGGCCUAUUUUUAUAUAAAGGAUAAAUUGGAUAAAGAUCGAAUACAACCAUUCACUUACAGAGCAAAGAUAAAUGAAUUCAUCAUCCUUGUAACAAGAAGAUUUAUUCGGCUGACUCCGGCUUAUAUGGCGGUAUUAGCAAUAUCACAAUUAAUAUCGACUUGGUUCGAUAAGACUUCACUAUUUUAUAUAUAUGAAAGGCCACAUGAAACUUGCUCUAAGUACUGGUGGAGAAAUCUUAUCUACAUAAAUAAUCUGUUCGGUUUAAAAGAAAUGUGUAUGAGUUGGAGUUGGUACCUGUCCGCCGAUAUGCAAUUUUUUAUGAUCGCUGUGGCUCUGUUAAUUUUGUCAACAAUUUAUUUUUAUAUAGCUGCAGCUAUAUUGAGUGCACUUUUAAUAGGUUCAAUUGUCCUUAGCGGUUAUCUUUCAUAUAUUUAUGAAUACGUCCCGACAUUAGAUGAACAAUAUAGGCUUAUAGAUGUAUUAUACUUCCCAUCAUGGACUAGAAUAAGUCCAUACAUUGUCGGAAUGAUUACUGGUUAUGUUUUAACGCAAUUAAACGGAAAGUUGGUUUUAAAACGGGUAUCGUUUGCCGGUUCUUAUCAUUCAAAGGUUGGGCUCCUUUUAGUAGAUUAUCAUAUUGCGCUUAUCUCUUAAAUCCUAUAAUCAUACACUCACUUAGGCUGCAAAGCGAAACGUCUGUUCAUUUCAGCUUAUCGUCUUUGACUGUCUUGUUUAUAGGACACUUUAUAAUUAUUUAUUUUUCCUCUUAUAUAUUGUCAUUAAUAGUUGAAACACCAUAUAGCCUACUGAUGCGAAAAAUCAUGCAAACUCGCAGCAGAAGAAAGUACAAGUGGCGUAACAGUG